rnacentral:rRNA from 1 species
UACGAAGGGGGCUAGCGUUGCUCGGAAUCACUGGGCGUAAAGGGUGCGUAGGCGGGUCUUUUAAGUCAGGGGUGAAAUCCUGGAGCUCAACUCCAGAACUGCCUUUGAUACUGAAGAUCUUGAGUUCGGGAGAGGUGAGUGGAACUGCGAGUGUAGAGGUGAAAUUCGUAGAUAUUCGCAAGAACACCAGUGGCGAAGGCGGCUCACUGGCCCGAUACUGACGCUGAGGAGCGAAAGUGUGGGGAGCGAACAGG